UUUGCUCGUUCGUGUAGGCUUCGCCCCUGCUUUGCUCCUUCGUCCUUGCUUCAUUAAAUUUGUGGCAGACAUCUUUCCGCUUCUUCAGAUUUAUGCUGGUUCCUUCUUUGCCAUUCCCCUUGUCCGAUGGUUUUUUAUUAGGAAGAGGAAUGCUGAUAUUGAAAAGAGAAAUCAAAUUAGGAAGCAGUGUUCAAAAGUACUCGAAUUACCUGACCCUUCACUGAGACAGAAGUAGGAUCAGAGUGGGAAAAAAGCCUAUGAUUUUCUCUGUCAAUCAGCAGCAAGAGAGGAGAAAAAGAAAAGAAAAAACCUUUCCUUUCAUCACAAAGCAACAUUAUUGACUAAGAUUAGAUCUUUAUCACCAUAAAAACAAUGUCAAGACAGAAGCAAGGAGGUGAAGAAACCAUGAUGUCAAGCCUGAAUGAAACAAUUGAAAGAGAAGA